rnacentral:tRNA from 1 species
GGAGGCAUAGCUCAGUUGGUUAGAGCGCUAUGUUGACAUCGUAGAGGUCACUGGUUCGAAUCCAGUUGUCUCCA